UACGUAGGGAGCAAGCGUUGUCCGGAAUCAUUGGGCGUAAAGCGCGCGUAGGCGGCCCUGUAAGUCCGCUGUGAAAGUCAAAGGCUCAACCUUUGAAAGCCGGUGGAUACUGCAGGGCUAGAGUCCGGAAGAGGCGAGUGGAAUUCCUGGUGUAGCGGUGGAAUGCGCAGAUAUCAGGAGGAACACCAAUAGCGAAGGCAGCCCCCUGGGCCAAUACUGACGCUCAUGCACGAAAGCGUGGGGAGCAAACAGG
rnacentral:rRNA from 1 species